UACGUAGGGGCAAGCGUUGUCCGGAAUCAUUGGGCGUAAAGAGCGCGUAGGCGGUCCAGUAAGUCCGCUCUGAAAGUCCGGGGCUCAACCCCGGGAGGCGGGCGGAUACUGCUGGGCUAGAGUCCGGAAGAGGCGAGUGGGAAUUCCUGGUGUAGCGGUGGAAUGCGCAGAUAUCAGGAGGAACACCAAUAGCGAAGGCAGCGUCGCUGGACGUUACUGACACUGAGGCGCGAAGCGUGGGAGCGAACAGG
rnacentral:rRNA from 1 species